GGCUUUUGCCCUUUACAAAUUCACCCAGAGGAGGUCUGAACGAAGGAGAGCAUACAAUGAAGACCAGCCAAGUGAGACACCAACUACAAUGACAUACACACCAGUGUCUAAUGGAAAUGCACCACAGAGGGAAGAAGUGUUGACAAUUGAACCCCACAUUACAGACGAAACUGACAUCGACAAAGCUAUGGAAACUGACAACAUAUCAGAGUACCAGGAGGAUCAUCUUUAGACUGUUGUAACAGAGGAUGCACUGAGCAAUUGGACGUUUGAAAUGUCUUGGAGGAGGGCCCCAUUUGAGAGGAUAAACUCUAAACUGAGGUGGAGAGUGUGAGACUAAACGAGCUGCAGCAUGCCAGACUGUUCUUUUUAACUGCAAUCAAGAUGGAGAAUUGCAGAGAAGUGCAACAGGACCACGAGGUGACAUUAGACCGAUGUAUAGGGUCCUGCCAUCUGGAUCAAAACUUUGAGGGAUUUGUUUGUCUUCUGGGAUUAGUUUGUUUCUCUCCCAUACCAAUUUUCACUGAUUCAGAGCUGACCGAAUAGAAACAGGCACAUAUAGUUGAGGAAAGGGUUAACUGACACCUCCUGCUACACACCCAAUCCGAUACGUUUUCUCUUGCUUGGGCUUCUUGAACUGGAGUUAGUUAUCUGAACAGUGAAAUUGGCGGUGUUCUCAUGGAUGUGUACAGCCAUUUGUGUGAAACAUGACUUGUUUUUGAUGCACGAAAAAACUGUGAUGUGGUACGUAUGCAACAUUGGCAGCGUUGGUCAGUCCUUGCUGCUCCAUCAAUACUUCACAUUCUGUAAAUGUGCCUGCAGCUUUAGCCAACGAUACUCAGCUUUACAGUUUGAUAUAUCAGGUAGGAAUUGAAAAGCUGAGAAGUGUUAAUGUCCCUUAUUAUAGCAAAUUUACUCACCAUUGGGACAUCACCAUCAUUUCAUGGCUUCUUCUUCUGGGUUUCUGUCAAAAUUCAUAAUAAAAAGUAUGCAUGUAAAUUAAACCAGAUUUUUGAAGCAAAACAAACAAACAAACA